UACGUAGGUGGCAAGCGUUGUCCGGAUUUAUUGGGUUUAAAGGGUGCGUAGGCGGCUUUAUAAGUCAGUGCUGAAAUAUCCCGGCUUAACCGGGAGGGUGGCAUUGAUACUGCAGAGCUUGAGUGAAGUCGAGGUAGGCGGAAUUGACGGUGUAGCGGUGAAAUGCUUAGAUAUCGUCAAGAACACCAAUAGUGAAGACAGCUUACUAGGCUUAUACUGACGCUGAGGCACGAAAGUGUGGGGAUCAAACAGG
rnacentral:rRNA from 1 species